GCUGUAACCAUGCAAUGGUCUGUGGGAAGGACCUUGGCAGACAGGAGGAAGAGCUGCAGCCUAGUCGGCCGUCCUGGAAAAAGGAAGUCCUUGGCUUACGGCCACAACUGAGCCCAAAAUUGUCCCAAAAAUGGACAGCAUCAAGGCAACCUGGGAGCUCCGAGGGGGAAGAGGGAAUAGAGCUGGCAGAGAGAGAGAGAGACAGUGACGGAGCAUGGGCCAUCAUUCAUCCCUCAGAUGGAGAGUCAACAGCCCCCAGGUCUGGAAGUGGCUGAUGAGGAGGAGGAGGAACAGCUGGGUCCAGUGCCUGAUGCACAGAUGCGCAGAAGGCAGAGGAGAGGAGAGCAGUGGAAAUCUAUGGGCCGGUCCUUAGGAAGGAAGAGCCACCAAUGCUAGCGAAGCCCCACCCUAGCUCUGGGGAUAAAAGGCAGGAGGUAGAGAUGAAUAGGUUUGGCAGACAACUAUUCAUCUUCUGGCCGGAUGGACUUGUUAGCCUGCGGUGAGAGAGAAACUUUUUGGCGCUCCUAAUAAAGGAAUCUUUUGAGUUCA